AACGCGAAGAACCUUACCAGCCCUUGACAUCCCGGUCGCGGGAACGAGAGAUCGAUCCCUUCAGUUCGGCUGGACCGGAGACAGGUGCUGCAUGGCUGUCGUCAGCUCGUGUCGUGAGAUGUUGGGUUAAGUCCCGCAACGAGCGCAACCCUCGCCCUUAGUUGCCAUCAUUUAGUUGGGCACUCUAAGGGGACUGCCGGUGAUAAGCCGCGAGGAAGGUGGGGAUGACGUCAAGUCCUCAUGGCCCUUACGGGCUGGGCUACACACGUGCUACAAUGGCGGUGACAGUGGGAUGCAAUGGAGUAAUCCUGCGCAAAUCUCAAAAAGCCGUCUCAGUUCGGAUUGUGCUCUGCAACUCGAGCACAUGAAGUUGGAAUCGCUAGUAAUCGUGGAUCAGCACGCCACGGUGAAUACGUUCCCGGGCCUUGUA
rnacentral:rRNA from 1 species